GAUGAACGCUGGCGGCGUGCCUAAUACAUGCAAGUCGAGCGAACAGACGAGGAGCUUGCUCCUCUGACGUUAGCGGCGGACGGGUGAGUAACACGUGGAUAACCUACCUAUAAGACUGGGAUAACUUCGGGAAACCGGAGCUAAUACCGGAUAAUAUAUUGAACCGCAUGGUUCAAUAGUGAAAGACGGUUUUGCUGUCACUUAUAGAUGGAUCCGCGCCGCAUUAGCUAGUCGGUAAGGUAACGGCUUACCAAGGCAACGAUGCGUAGCCGACCUGAGAGGGUGAUCGGACACACUGGAACUGAGACACGGUCCAGACUCCUACGGGAGGCAGCAGUAGGGAAUCUUCCGCAAUGGGCGAAAGCCUGACGGAGCAACGCCGCGUGAGUGAUGAAGGUCUUCGGAUCGUAAAACUCUGUUAUUAGGGAAGAACAAAUGUGUAAGUAACUAUGCACGUCUUGACGGUACCUAAUCAGAAAGCCACGGCUAACUACGUG
rnacentral:rRNA from 1 species